AAUGAACGUUGGCGGCGUGGAUUAGGCAUGCGAGUCGUGCGAGAACCGUAGCAAUACGGGGACAGCGGCGAAAGGGAGAGGAGCACGUGGAUACGUACCCUCGGGUUCAGGAUAGCCAUGGGAAACUAUGGGUAAUACUGAAUAACAUCUCCGGAUCAAAGGUGAGAUUCCGCCCGAGGAGCGGUCCGCGUCCUAUUAGCUAGUUGGUGGGGUAACGGCCUACCAAGGCAAAGAUGGGUACGAGAUGUGAGAGCAUAAUCUCGCUCAUUGGGACUGAGACACUGCCCAGACACCUACGGGUGGCUGCAGUCGAGAAUCUUCGGCAAUGGGGGAAACCCUGACCGAGCGACGCCGCGUGCGAGAUGAAGGCCUGCGGGUUGUAAAUCGCUGUCGUAGGGGAGGAAGUACUGGUGGGUUCUCCCACCAGUUUGACCUAUCCUAGGAGGAAGGACGGGCUAAGUUCGUGCCAGCAGCCGCAGUAACAC
rnacentral:rRNA from 1 species